AUUGAACGCUGGCGGCAUGCUUUACACAUGCAAGUCGAACGGUAACAGGCCGUCGGUUGCUGACGAGUGGCGGACGGGCGAGUGAGGCAUCGGAACGUACCCACAGGCGGGGGAUAAGGGAGCAAAAGCUGGGCUAAUACUGCAUGUGAUCUGAGGAUGAAAGCGGGGGACCGGGCAGCAAUGUUUGGCCUCGCGCCUUUGGAGCGGCCGAUGUCGGAUUAGCUAGUUGGUGGGGUAAAGGCCUACCAAGGCGACGAUCCGUAGCUGGUCUGAGAGGAUGACCCGCCACACUGGGACUGAGACACGGCCCAGACUCCUACGGGAGGCAGCAGUGGGGAAUUUUGGACAAUGGGCGCAAGCCUGAUCCAGCAAUGCCGCGUGCGGGAAGAAGGCCUUCGGGUUGUAAACCGCUUUUGGCAGGAACGAAACGGUGUCUGCUAAUACCGGCAGCUAAUGACGGUACCUGCAGAAUAAGCACCGGCUAACUACGUG
rnacentral:rRNA from 1 species